GACCGAACUUCCAUAGCAGAUGGAUAUCGGACGAGCUUCUAUGAUGGACGGACUCCGACAACUAGAUUCUUACAACGAUCGAUCACCUUCGACGUCUGCCGAACCUCCCCAGAGCCAUCCAAAGUCCAUCGUCGGCCGACCCUCCGCCAGAUCCUUCAUGAAACUGAACUUCUCCGAUGGAUCAUCUUCAGAUGAGCUUCCACAUCAAGCGAAUCCCAGAUGA
rnacentral:lncRNA from 1 species